GAUUUUCUGGUGCUAUGCAGAUCAAGAGAAGCUCUCAUCUUUUUUCUGUACAUUUUCCUGCACUUCCUGCAUCAGUUGUGACACUUGCUUCUAUCUGUUCAGACGGUGCAAGGUCCAUAUAUUCGGCUGCCAAGGUUUUGUUUCACGAAUCAAUGCAUCAGCCCAUGAGUAUCGUUGUAUGUUGAAAAAUACGAAAAUACAACGCUGAAGUGGCGAACCACUCGCAUAGUUGUGGAUCAAACUGGGACUGAAGUUUCAGCGUGCCCCACUAAGUACAGGGAACCUUUUUCUGAGAAGCAUGUCAAUCUCUCAUCUGCCAAUGGGAUCCAUGUUUUAAGUUGUUCAUCUGGUAGUAACAGCUAAUUAACUAAAUGGCUUGAGUGUGUGUUCUUGUUUGAUUUGUUUGAAGGAACCGUGUUUGAUUUCUAUAAAUUUAAGUAAUAUAUUGAAAUAA